rnacentral:rRNA from 1 species
UACGUAGGCAGCAAGCGUUGUUCGGAAUUACUGGGCGUAAAGGGUCCGUAGGCGGUGCGGUAAGUCGGGAGUGAAAUCUCUGGGCUUAACUCAGAGGCUGCUUCCGAAACUGCCGUGCUAGAGUGCGAGAGAGGCAAGUGGAAUUGCGGGUGUAGCGGUGAAAUGCGUAGAUAUCGGGAGGAACACCUGUGGCGAAAGCGGCUCACUGGACCACAACUGACGCUGAGGCGCGAAAGCUAGGGGAGCAAACAGG